AGUAAAUCAAACCACAGUGUAAUAGAGAUGAAAAUGUGUAGUAGUUCCCCAAUGAAGAUAGUCAUGGCUUUGGUUCUUUCUUUUUUGCUUCUUGGUCAUUUCUGUGCGGAGGCAGCAGGAAGGAUAAAUGAUGAAGCAGCAACACCAACAGUAUGUUUCCAGCAACAAGAAAGAUGUCCGAGUGGUCAGGAUUGUAAUAGUUGUUGUAAGUCAUCAUUGGGUUACUCCCGAGGAGGCGUUAUGCUGCUAGGAUCUUGUUGUUGCAUUGAGGGUUCCAUGAAGGUCUAAAUUCAUUACAAUAGUUUGCUAAUAAGAACAUCUCCUACGGGAAUAUGAUAUGGUUCUUCCAUGAAACGCAAUGUAAAAGCAAAAAUCCUUUAAAAGGAAGAUAAAAUAAAUCAUCUCUAAUCGCGGUGUUUUAUAUACA